CCAUUUUUAAAAUAUGAAGAAUAUUCUUUUUUUGUUUGCUUGUUUUUUGAGAUGAACUCUUGCUCUGUCACCCAGUCUGGAGUGGAGUGGCGCAAUCUCGUCUCACUGCAACCUCUGCCUCCCGGGUUCAAGCAACUCUCCUGCCUCAGCUUCCCAAGUAGCUGGGACUACAAGUGUGCACCACCAUGACUGGCUAAUUUUUUUUUUUUUUUGUAUUUUUAGUAGAAACAGGAUUUUGCCACAUUGGCCAGACCGGUCUCGAAUUCCUGACCUCAGACCAUCCACCCGCCUCGGCCUCCCAAAGUGCUGGGAUUACAGGCGUGAGCCCCGUGCCUGGCCAAAAUGUGAAGAACAUUCUUAGCUCGUGGGCCAUGGAGAAACAGGUGGCAGCUGGAUUUGGCCUAUGGGCAAUAGGUUGCCCGUGCUAGCUCCCAAUUCUUCAGACACUCCUGGCAGCAGGUGAACUGCACCUCCUGGAGAUACCAGCGCCCCAGAGGCUCAACCCCAUCACAAUGCAUCCUCAUUCUGUGGUCUGAACAUGGGCCAGGCAAGGCUGAGCCUGGAGGCUCUGGUGGCCCCACUUCUUCUCUUCUGUCCCUCCAGCCCUGAGAAGGAACUCCUGUAGUUACCAUAUCUGGUCACUGCAGCAUCUCCAUUUGCCCUUCCAACCCUCCAACACUGGAGUAGUCAAUUCCCUGAAUACAUCCCUUCUGUAAGAAAUGCCUUGCAUGGAAUCGUUUUCCUGCUUGGACUCUGACUGACACAGAAAUCCUUCCAUUUUAGGGAGGGGAAGAAGAAAAGGAAGCCAAAAGGGAGAAGUCAAAGACUGAAGAGGCAAAUUAGGAGUGUCCCCACACUGAAGGGAAAAGAAGCUCAGGAAGAAGGUCCUGGGGAGCAGCAGUUGCCACUGCUGAGAGGGACCAGACCUACCUUACAAGAAAUGCUAAAGGGAGUUCUUCAUUUGAAAGAAGAAACACUAAUGUGAAGAAAAUUUGUUAAGGUAUAAAACCCAUUGGGAAAAUUAAGUACAUAGACAAACCCAAAACACUAAUACUGUAAAUGUGGUGUGCUACCCACUCAUAACUCUAAUAUGAAGCCCGAAAGACAAGUCUAUCAAAAACAAUGAUACCUACAGCACCCUGUUAAGAGACAGGCAUUAUAGGCCGGGCGCGGUGUCUCACGCCUGUAAUCCCAGCACUGUGGGAGGCAGAGGCGGGUGGAUCACCUGAGGUCGGGAGUUCAAGACCAUCCUGACCAACAUGGAGAAACCCCGUCUCUACUAAAAGUACAAAAAUUAGCUGGGCAUGGUGGCGCAUGCCUGUAAUCCCAGCUACUCAGGAGGCUGACAUGGGAGAAUCGCUUGAACCUGGGAGGCGGAGGUUGCGUUAAGCCAAGAUCCUGCCAUUGCACUCCAGCCUGGGCAGCAAGAGUGAAACUCCAU
rnacentral:lncRNA from 1 species